CGAUGCCUUUGUGCUUAGGGCACCAAAAUAGCUAGCAACGGCCCUGUGCUGGCAUUAGCAUAACAGUGAGGUGAUCAGAGGUGCCGAUAUGGGGGAGGGGAAUGGCUUUGUAUGCUCCCUUUUCCUGUGUGUAGACCAAGCCCCCACAAUGCGGCUCAAAAAAUGGUCCCAUCCCGGAAGUAAGAGAAAUUGCAGUUCCACCCUCAUCCGCUGGGGGCUGGUACCAGAAGCGAGCAAAUCCUCAUUGACUCCCAUGUUAAAAAUGCCAUUUUCAAAGCAGAAAUAAACAUGUUUACAGCCUGGUACCAAAACAUGUUUUUUGUCUAAAUUAUCUAGUUUAUACUCAUGACAACUCUGAGGGGGGUGAAUUUUUUUCUUACUCUUCUGUUUAAGUGUAUUGAAAGCCUAAUAAUUAAUGAGCAUCCGACACACGUGACCGCCGCCUCAGACCCACGUGACCACAGAGCUAGCUCCGUGGAAAGGCCUCAGUACAGCCUCGGUCCCUCCUGGAAACUGUGUCGGGAUUUUGAGUCUCUGUGCUUGUGAAUUCUGUUUUGGAUAUUAUUGGUGCAAUUGUUGGACAAAAUGACUUGCUGUGGUAUUAAUUGCACUAAUAGAACGUCCAAGGAGUCUCCACUUCAUUUUUUUCGUUAAGUUAAAAUCUAUAUUUGUAUUUUAUGUCACUGCCGCCUUUAAACUAGCUGAGUUUACCGAAGUAGCUAGCUAACUAUCAGUUUAACAUGUAGCAUGUACUGUUAAACCAUGAAAUUUAAAUGUAAAAUACAGUAAAAUAAUUAAUAGGGCAUAUUUCAAUGGGUAAAAGGGUAAAGGUGUUUUCAUCUGAACCCUUAAAAUCUCCAGCAGGCUACGCUGCACUAUUGACGUGUUAGCGCGCGGCGCUAACAACUUAGCGACGUGACAUGUCUCUGAGAAAGCGUAAAAACACGGACGCUUCUUCUGAAGCGGAAAAUAACACUUCUUCUUAAGCAGAGCAGGAUGUCGCCUCGGCUCGUUCACGGCCGAGUCGGACUGAGCUCGAUAACAUUGGCCAAGCACAGCCACUGGGUCGUUGGAGCUGCCACCAGGCCUGCUGAAGGAACACCAGCAGGUUUCAUCACACUCGUAAAGUUUGUUUUUGCUGGGGACCCCCUGUAUUUUACCGCUCCCUCCUGCAGUCUUCCCCUAUUAAAAUUUAAAAUGUGUAACUUUAUGUAUUGGGAUCAGUGUUGGGAGUAACGCCGUUUAAGUAUAACGGCGUUUCUAACGGCGUUAUUUUAUAGGUAACGGAAUAAUCUAAUUAAUUACUUUUCCCGCCAUUGCAACGCCGUAACCGUUACUGGGGACGGAAGGUUGUGCGUUACUAUGUGCUUGUCGAACGUUGAGCAGCAGCAUGAGGCUUUCUGACCGCCACACUUCAGCUGCAGCCAGGGAGAGAGAGGUGUCGGCACGCUAGGAUGAUGUCGACGCCAAAACAAAGUGGAGACUCACCUCUCACAUCAGGAAGAAUCUGCGUGUUUCGAGCGUUAUCCGUUCUUCCAUAAUCCGUUGUUGAAUUGUGAUCGGCAGAAGCUUUUCCGGUUCGCGCCUCACUUUUUUACAGCAGCGGCCCACGUCUUCUUUUAUCAAAACUUUGUUUCUGUUACUGAUAAGGAAAUGCGUGCGUUAAGCAGCGCGGUGUGUUGAAGCUGUCAUCAGCUGAUCAGGAGCUAAAGAGGUAGAUGUUUUCAUCCAAGAGCAUCACGGCCCGUGAAGAACGAGGAAGACAUGAUGAAUAGUCUACGGCUGCAGACCCCCCGCAGAUUCGCUGCUGCAGGUGGGAAUCUGCAGCAGCGAAUCUGCGGGUCUGCAGCCGUGCCCUUCUUGGCGUGACAGCGGGACGUCCCGAAGGUUCGCUCACCUGUCCAUCGCUCAGACGUCCUGAUCUUCUACCUUCCUAGAUUAUCCAGCUGUAACCUGUCUCUGAUCAUGUCUUUAGUCCCGCUGUAACACUGAUGCAUCAGUCUCAGACGACAUGGAGCUCAGGUGUUAUUAGAACUACCUGUGUGUGUUUACCACCCAGCUUCAGCUCUUCUGUGGUUGGGUCUGACCCACGUUAGUACAUUUAAGUCCUCCAUCAGAUUUGUGCCUCUUCUAGUGUAAUUUUAAAGGAUUUUAUUUAUUUAUUUAACUGAUACUAGAUUACCAGCAACAGAAAUGCGCUAAAAACACACAAUUAUGUGAAGCUGGAAAAAUUAGAAUACUAUGCAAAAUUACAUUUAUUUCUGUAAUUUAACUAGACCGAAAUACCAUUUAAAGGCUCGGGAACCUUUACAGGUGUUUCUAUCUGCAAUUUUAAAUUUUAGCUGAUUGGGGUCUUGUUAAAUAUCACACAGUGACCUUUUAAUAGUCUAGAUUAGUGUAAUGUUCCUAUUAGUAGUUCCUCCUGUUAAGUGCUGAUUUAUUGAAAUUAUUCAGGUUUAUAAAAAACAUUUGGACAUACAUUUUAUUAUGUUCCAGUCAAUAGUCAUUUAUAUUUCACUAUUGUAGUAAUUCUUGCAUUCUUUAAUGAAAAAAGUAACUAAGUAGUUAUUUUUGUUGGUAAUUAGUUACUUUUAUGAUCUUGUAACUCAGUUAGUAACUGAGUUACUUUUUUGACAAAGUAAUCAGUAACUAUAACUAAUUACUUUUUUAAAGUAACGUUCCCAACACUGGGAUGAAUGACAAAUAUUCAUGUUAAACUAAAACGUUAGGCAUUUAUGGGGAAAAACAAAAUAAUAAACAUUAUACAGAUGUCAAAUAAAUCAAACUGUAAUUAAACUAUAUAUUUUCAAAGUCUCUAGUCUGGAUAAAAUCCAACAACAUAUGCUUUAUAAAUAACAAACACUACACAUGGCUUUUACACACACACAUGCAUGCACGUAAGCACAUUCACUCACACACACACACACACACACACACACACACACACACACACACACACACACACACACACACACACACACACACACACACACACACAGUGCUCUGGUGUACCAGUGUGUUCACGAAACCAAAGAAGUCCAAUUGCCUUCUUUAAAAAUCCAUUUGAUGUCAUACUGAACAACUGUUGUAUUUGAUUCUAAUUUUAAUGAUUCUGUUUCAGGUGGAAAUGCUGUGUGAAUCCUGUGCCAUGUGGCCCAUGACCUGUGUCAGCCCGGUUUCACUUACACCCCUUUAAUGAUCAGGCUGUUUUUAUUAUUUUUAUCAGCUGAUAGCAGUUAAAAUUAUGGUAAAAAAAAACUUUUAUCUGUUUUUGAUAACUUAAUGCACAGGAAGAGCAUCUUCUCUAGACAUUAAAUAUAACCCAAAUGUUUUAUUAUGAGCAGAUCUGAUGAAGGUGUAGACAAGCAGUCUGCAAAGUAAAAAUUGUUUAGAGUCCAAACUCUUACUAAAGCUUUUGAAAAGAAAAAAAUGGUUGAAUUUUGAGAAAUAUCCACAGCAGGGGAGCGAGACCUCUGAAAAAUGUAUAUUUUCUCUGAAUUCAUAGAAUAAUGUGAGGAUUCUGGGAAAAGUUGGGAUUCUGAGAUUAAAACGUAAAUCUAUCUAAUCAUAAUUCUGGCAGUUUUUGUGUCCUUCUGCUAUGGAAAGUCGUGCAACAUGAAGAUACUGAGAAGAUGCUUAAAACCUGUAUUUUUAUUCCAUCCAUAAAUAAAAUCAGGAGCUAUUUUUUAAAUCCAGAUUUGAUCCAAAGGGCCAUCGUUGGUUCCAGACCCGUUCUACAACAUUCCUCUAAUCUUAAAGUCAUCAUCAGUUUCUUCCUUUUAACAAAUAUUUACUUGUUAAAAUAUUUAAUAUUUAUAACUGGAAUAUUUGUUCCUCCCUCUCCCACUGCAGUUAGUCCUGUCCUGCAACCCUGUUUUUGCAGGUUAGUGAAGCCAGCCAUCACUAACCUGGGGGUGGUUUUGGACCCAGAGAUGCAGAUGGACUCCCACAUUAGCCAGGUGGUUAGAUCCUGCUUUUUCCAGCUUUGCCAGCUACCAAAGAUGAAGUCCAUCCUGAAAGACGUGUCAUAUUUUCUCCCCAAGCCGGACCUGACCGCAGAAAUACUGCAGCUCGUUUUCCUCUAGGUGAUCCAGAGAGGCUUGACCUUUGGGUGAGCAACCAAAGAAGAGAGUGCUGGACUCCCAAUUCAUUCUCCCGCUUGUGCAGUGAACACUUUGAGAGUCAUCACUUCACCACGGACUCCAGGGUGGAAAUGCUGUGUGAUUCCUGUGUCCUGUGGCCCAUGACCUGUGUCAGCCCGGUUCUGGAUGUGGCCUUGCUGAGUUCUCUGUAGCAAGGUUUUCUGGCGCUUGGGGCCGUUCCAGAGUGCACCUGGUCCUUGGGGGUCUCACACUUCAUAUCCCAGCACACACACGAACACAUGCUUGUUGAUGUUUGUUGUUCAUGAUGUUUGUGGUUCAUGCUUUACAUGUUUAUAGUUGUUCAUCCCACGUUUUCUUGAUGACUCUUAGAAAUGUUUCUUCACAGGUGCAGCUGCUGGUUGCUGUUUUUAUGUUGGUUUCCUAGUUGUAUGAAUUUUUCUCUUAUUUACUUGUUUAUCCUCUAUCAGCAGUCUUUAUUCCAGAUUGGUUCAGCAUUUACAUGCGGAUGUGGCGAUACAUAACCCAAACCAAUAUUACUCAAGGGGAACCUCGUACACAUUAAGGCUCCUCUUAAUAGAGCAAAUCUGUGCAGCACAUUCUGACAGACAGACCACCAUUCUUCUGUCAUGUUGCUGUACAGGACAUUUUUAGAGUUUUUCUUUUUAAAGAUAAAUAGGAUUACAUUUAAAAUGCAAUACUUUCACGUUAUCAUUUUCCCACACUUUGUUUACCUGUAUUUUGUUGUUUUUCAAUAAAGAAUGACUAAUUAUUUAAGUUUGGUUUUUGUUGCACACAAAUAUCUACAAAGCUAAUGUUAACAUAACAAGUAUGAUUGGGUUUUGCAAUACAGCACUCUGUUUAUUUUAGUAAGAUUUUUAAACCAAGUAAAGUUAGUAAAGAACACAUUUCUAUUGGCUGUAAGAAACUGUUGGGAUUUAAAAUGUGCCUGUUGUACAAAUAACUUGUAAAUGAUUAUUCCUCACUUUGUAGUCUUAACCAAAGAAAUUCCAGUAAUUGAGCAAAAACAUUUAUUUUUUACACUACAUUUUAUAAAACAACAGGGCACAAAGUGUCGACACAUUAAAAAAAACGUAAAAUAUUAAAAGGUUGUCUCCGAGGGUCUCUGCAGCUCUCUGGGCCUCACGUAGCUGUCUCCAAUGAUCCAAAUGGCUAUGGAGAAAAAAUAACAGGUUUGUCAUAAUUGUUUAAAGUACAAAACCAUACAUGAAGUGGUCAAGACAGGUACUUGGAACUUACACUUGCUGCGUUGUGUAGCUGAUGUUGGAGGCACACAGGCUGCCAUGGUGACCUUUAAACAGAACUAAGAAAAAAAUGUAAUAAAAUAAUGAAACUUAAAAACUCCCAGACCUCAUGUCAUAUUUACUAAUCAGCUAUGGCUGAUUUAUUGUUUGGAUCACAGUGAGUUACACUAAUUCUAAUAUAUUUUUUAUUUCUAUUACACAUACAUACUUUUUAACUGUUAUUUUCACAUGACUGUUAUCAGGCUCUCUUGUUGUGGUUCUCAUGAUAAUUCCGUGUCUUCCAGUAAGUUAUCUUGUGCUUCCUUCAUCUGUAUAAUGUCUCUUUACUUUUGGUGAAUUUUACUGAGUCCAGAAUAAAGGCUAGUUGGCUGUACAAGAUACAAACAAGAAUUACGUUUUGGAAAUAUAUGAAAUGUAUUUAGGCUGCUAAUUCAGCGAUAGCCCGGAAAAUACAGUACUGAAAACUUGCUCAAAGCAAAAUGUUUUCAUUACGGAGAUAAAUUAUAAACUUACCGAUUUAAAACUUUUUUAAUACAGGUACUUUUCACGAACAGGCGCAGAAAACCUCCACCUAAAGUCCAUUUGAGUUUCAGGUCGAUGUUCCAGUUAGCUCCGGUAGGGUUGAAGCUAGGUGGCUACAUCCGUUAGCCCGGCUCCCACCUCCGCGUUAGCUUUGGGUUAGCCAGGGUUAGCUUCAGGUUAGCUCGUAGCUAGUUCGCCUGGGUGUCGUCACUCGAUCCCAGCCUCACAGCCCCACCCUCAGCUCCUCCUCUCUUCCCUUUUAUGGAAUUGUCUGGGCUGGACGGAACCUGUGACACGGUCAAAAUGGCGGUGGUGGCCACCUCCCAUUAUAGACAAAAAACGUGUUAUUGGAGCCUAUGGAAUCGUUUUGUCCCGUAUAUGUACAGUCUAUGGUAUAGACCAGGUCCAAUAUGUUAUCUCCCCUUGUUGGAAAAUGUACAUGCUGAUGAAACUUUGGAAGAACAGUUUUAAGAUCAGCAUGGUUAGUCUCCUGCGAGGAUGAUGAAACCGUCUGGGUGUGCUGUUUGUUGCUCACUGAUGGCCUGAUACAAUUCGUUCAGCGCCGCAUUUCUAUCGAUGUUGUUGCUAGAUGGAGGUCUAUAAGUAGCGACCAACAAGAUCGAACUUACCUCCCUGGGAAAGUAGAAGGGGCGACACUUCACAAUCAUGAACUCCGUGAUGAGCAGUGUUUUCGUACUACAGUGGUAUCACGACACCACUCGUCACGGAUGUAAACACAGACCCCACCACGAGUCUUGCCUCCGUCCAGUCUUGCCUAGUAUUAAUAUUAUUUAUUAUUUUUUCAUAUUCACAUAAAUAGUAUUUAAAGUCCCAAUCAACUCCAGUUGGUGGCAAUAAUGCAACAAGAAGUGACUUGCUAACCACCGCAAAACUAGAAGAUGAACAGAAAAAAAAGGUGAU